rnacentral:rRNA from 1 species
UACGGAGGGGGCUAGCGUUGUUCGGAAUUACUGGGCGUAAAGCGCGCGUAGGCGGACCUGCAAGUCGGGGGUGAAAGCCCGAGGCUCAACCUCGGAACUGCCUUCGAUACUGCGGGUCUCGAGUCCGGGAGAGGUGAGUGGAAUUCCUAGUGUAGAGGUGAAAUUCGUAGAUAUUAGGAAGAACACCAGUGGCGAAGGCGGCUCACUGGCCCGGUACUGACGCUGAGGCGCGGAAAGCGUGGGGAGCAAACAGGG